CCCUUUUCCACCUACUGACCAGCGUUCUGUGCCCUUAUCGUGUGCUUUGAACGAUCAACGCUUAAUUUUUUCAUCGACACGUGAAUGGCACAGUCAGCAGGAUAUCAGUGAUUCCCAGAGGACACCUGGGGUCUGCCCUGAACCAGCGCUUGGAACCAACACAGACCCCGUUGCGUCCCACCAGCUUCUCAGUGCUCCUCGGGUGUUCCAGGGAUUUCUCCUGAUAUCUAGAUUUCAUUGUUUUCAAGUGAUGGUCCUAAAUGUUUAUUCGAGCUGUGUUUACUUGAGACUUGGAGUCUUAAAGGGCACCAGUCAUCUCCUACAGACGUGUGGGGAUACGGGCAGGAGCCCCAAGGAAACAUGAGUGGCUGGGUCUUUGCUAAAUUUGGUUUAAAUGGAAAAAUAAAACAAGCUGCUAUAUGGUCUGAACAAAACUUCUGCUAGUGAAAUGUGAGACUGAUUCAACUCCAAAAAAACAAGGGACACUUGCUCCUUCUGGCC
rnacentral:lncRNA from 1 species